CAGUAGCCGCGGGAAUACGAAGGGGGCUAGCGUUGCUCGGAAUGACUGGGCGUAAAGGGCGCGUAGGCGGCGAUCAAAGUCAGGCGUGAAAUUCCUGGGCUCAACCUGGGGGCUGCGCUUGAUACUUGGUUGCUUGAGUGGGGAAGAGGGUCGUGGAAUUCCCAGUGUAGAGGUGAAAUUCGUAGAUAUUGGGAAGAACACCGGUGGUGAAGGCGGCGACCUGGUCCUUUACUGACGCUGAGGCGCGAAAGCGUGGGGAGCAAACAGGAUUAGAUACCCGCGUAGUCCCUGUCUCUUAUAC
rnacentral:rRNA from 1 species